rnacentral:pre_miRNA from 13 species
GGUACUUAAUGAGAAGUUGCCCGUGUUUUUUUCGCUUUAUUUGUGACGAAACAUUCGCGGUGCACUUCUUCUUCAGUAUC